GUAUUAAUUCCAUAAUUGAUAUCCUAAACUAUCAAACUGUUCAUUUUGCCCAGUCUAUUAUAGGUUAACUGUGUUAAGAGUGAAUCCAUAAAUACAUUUAUCAAAUAGUUUUUUUCCUCUUUUAUUCUGAACUUCAGUGUACAUUAGUUUUCUUUAUCCCUGUUUUAGUUUUUUAAUUUGUGACUUUUUGUCCAUUUAGUGUAUCUAUUUGAUGCUACUAGCGAAGUUUAAAAAGUGGUGUUUGAGUGAUAAUUGUUUUGGCCAAAAGUGUCAUUGAUGCUUCCAAGUGCUGCAAAAUAACGCUUAACUACCGGUACUUCUUUCUCUGUUUUCAGGCUGAGGCUGAAACCCGUUGCUGAUGUACCAAGAUUCCAUUUUGGUAGUGAAAAGAAUCACACCCUGAUUACAAAGCUGAUUCAUACUACCUUUGCCCUGCGACGCGAAGAGAUCAUCAGCAAUGACCUACCAGUAGCAGAGAUCCUGGAUCGCUGGCCUGCUCUGAAAAUGGAGUCCCAGAUCUGUGCAGAGUUCCACAGGAUUACAAACCUCAACCUAAAGAACCACUUGUUUGCUGUGUUAGACCAACAUGCCCCCAGGCUCCAGAGCUUAUUUAGAAAGAAAGCUGCUCGCACAGGGAAAGUUUCUGAUGUUCUGUCUCAGCUCUUCAGAACCUAUGAUCUCCAGGAACAAGUUAAUAUCCAUGUUUGACGUGCUGUUGUGCUUCACGGCCUUCCUUCCUAUUUGCACGAAGACACCUCCACCUUCAUCAAAACCUGGGAUAUGACGCACUCCGAUGAACCAGAUAUUAGGAAAGUGCCACUUGGACUCCUCCUAAUUGGAGCCAGUUCCACAUUCUUCUGUCUCGAGAAAAUCGCAGUUUUGAUUGAGGGUAACAUUAUCAUUGAUUUCACCACCCUGUCUGCUGCAUUUGUAGUAUUAUUUGCACUGACGUAUGCCCUGCAUCUAAACUACCCAAAAUGUUUGGCCAACACAUUUGACUUCAUUCAGAAAGUCUUGAUGGGAAGUUGAGGCCCAAAGUGCUGAGUCUUGAAAAUGAUCUGUUGGCAGCAGAAUAAUAUUAAGGGUUCCUACACAGCCCUGAAGUGCCAGUUAGAGCAAGUAUUUCAGCUGACCAUUUUUCAGUCUGGAUAAGUAAAUAAAAAUAAAAAAGUUGCAAUAGAGAAAAUUUUAUUUGCAGAUUCUACGUUUUAUUUCAUUACCUAACUGACAUAAGGCACUAAGAAGUUUUAUAAAAUGGUUUUAUGUAUUUUUAAAGUUUCUAAAUAAGUAGUUUUCUGUGUAAAAUUUUAUUGCACUGUUGGUGACAGCAUGGUUGCACUCUAGAUACUAAAAGGGUUCCCUAUACUAUUUCAGUGUAUUAGCAUCACUGUAAUUUAAUUCAGUUUUCCCAUCUGAUGAUGCAGGAUUUUAAGUAUUUUGUUUUCUUUUUUAAUAAAAAUCUAUUGAUACU